UAGACGGAUAGUAAAUGCGGUGAUGAACAAGCAGGGUUAGAAAAAACAAUGUCCAUGUUAAUGGCAGCAUUGGCAGGUGCCAAUAUGAUUUAUGGGC
rnacentral:ncRNA from 1 species